ensembl:snRNA U4 U4 spliceosomal RNA
AGCUUUGUGCAGUGGCAGUAUCUUAGCCAAUGAGGUUUACCCAAAGCAUGAUUAUUGCUAAUUGAAAACUUAAUUGUGAACACCAACUUUGGAGCUCAAUAUACUGCAUUCAAAGAUAGUGAUUAUGGGUAAUUUCUUUUGGAG